GUCGAACGAUGAACCUUAUUAGAUUUCUUCGGAAUGAAAAUAAGUGGAUUACUUUUAAACGGGUGAGUAACACGUGAGUAACCUGCCUUACACAAGGGGAUAGCCUUUGGAAACGAAGAAUAAUACCCUAUAAAGUCAAAAUAUCGCAUGAUAAAGUGACCAAAGAUUUAUCGGUGUAAGAUGGACUUGCGUCUGAUUAGCUAGUUGGUGAGAUAAAAGCCCACCAAGGCGACGAUCAGUAGCCGGCUUGAGAGAGUGUACGGCCACAUUGGGACUGAGACACGGCCCAAACUCCUACGGGAGGCAGCAGUGGGGAAUUUUGCACAAUGGGGGAAACCCUGAUGCAGCGACGCCGCGUGAUUUAGAAGGCCUUCGGGUUGUAAAAAUCUUUUUUAUGGGAUGAAAAUGACAGUACCAUAAGAAUAAGGUCCGGCUAAAUACGUGCCAGCAGCCGUGGUAAUACGUAUGGACCGAGCGUUGUCCGGAAUCAUUGGGCGUAAAGGGUACGUAGGCGGCCUAGUAAGUUAGAAGUGAAAUAAUAUAGCUCAACUAUAUAAAGCUUUUAAAACUGUUAGGCUUGAGAGAUGAAAGGGAAAGUGGAAUUCCUAGUGUAGCGGUGAAAUGCGCAGAUAUUAGGAAGAAUACCGGUGGCGAAGGCGACUUUCUGGUCAUCAUCUGACGCUGAGGUACGAAAGCGUGGGUAGCAAACAGGAUUAGAUACCCUGGUAGUCCACGCUGUAAACGAUGAGU
rnacentral:rRNA from 1 species